AAUCACGAUCUUAAUCAAGUUUCAUUUUCCUCUGCAGUUGCAGUUUGCGCAUGAUUCUCUCACACAGAGAAUUCCGAGUAAACGAAUCUUAUAGAUUUCGAUUACCUCGUCAUCAUCAAUAAUAUCAAUGAAACUCAUACGAGUUCUUCUAAUUUAAGAGUUAUAAUUUUAAAUACCUUGGAAGAGUUUUGAAAGCGGUUCUAAAUAAAAAUAAAUAAAAAUCUCUUCUGAAUAAAAAUAAAAAUUAUCUUAAUCCGAAAUUCAAUUUUCAUUUCGAUCAAUAAUUUCAAUUGAAAUUAGAUGUGUGCGAAUUCGGGGAAGAAUAAAAAAUCAGAUUGUAAAAAGCUUCAGGAUCGUAUCAAGCAGUAGGAACAUACCUGACUGCAACAAGUUUCAAGAUUGCGCAAGCACCGAAUGUUAUCGCAAGGACUUUGCAAAGUCAUCCUGUAACAAUGAAGAUGUUAAAAAUCUUGGUUUAUCUAUACAUUUUUUCAUCAUAUGUUUUGGAAUGAAACUGAUAAAAUCUGGCGAGUACUUUUCUUGGGAUCGUUUCGUUCUAUGCGAUCGGUCGUAAGUAAAUCAAUACUUUACGACAGGCCUAAUAGUGACGACGCAUAUUCUCCUACACAGACAAUGGAAAUGACUACAUCUGCUUUCAACGGUAACAAAAAUAUCGAGGAUAUUCUAAUUUGCCAAAAAUAAAUCGUUUCUUCCUAAACGAACAUCAUUUCUUCCCAAUUGUAAGAAAUCUAUUGCUAAAUCUGCUUUCAGCUGUUGAUCUAUGUUGAAGUAUCUCAUCAUUUACAUUUAUCACACUUCACGCGUCAUGUUCACGUAUCACAAUUGAAGCUUCUGAACGUCUUCGAUUGGAAGUCAUUUAUUAUCGCACGUAUUAAUGUAAGUGACAUCAGAUUCUAAAGAUUGCGAGCGAUAAGCGUACAGGUAGCCUACCUUGUUCAAUUGUGGAUUUCUGAUGUGAUCAAGGCCACGCACAAGACCAGCACAGACCACGUCGCCAGUUCCUCGCUGGCCCAGCUGAUCGCGCACCAGGUUCGACAUGGUAGACGUUUUGUUCUUGACACAGUCGGGCCGACUACUGCCUGGGGUCCUGGAAAACGAACAGCGGAUCUGAGUGUUCGGGCAACGCACACACCUCAUGGUACGUCAGUGGAGUAGAGGACGCAGUGGUGCCGUGACCUGUCGCGUCGGCGAGAUCAAAGUGUGUGUGGGAAGAAUAAAGGACAUAGUCGUAUUUGCCGAAGGUGGCGAUUGUUCAACCUAUUUUGAUCUUUUAGUGUUAUAAAUACACGAAUAAUUAUAUAAUAGAUCUAAUACAGCAAAAUAGUUAUAUAAUAAAUAUAAAUAUAGAUGUCUCUCACGCAACGGGUAAAUUUUAUCUAGUUUUCUAGUUUUUAAUGAAAAAUACAGAACUGAUGCAUUCAGA